CACGUAGGGCGCAAGCGUUGUCCGGAAUUAUUGGGCGUAAAGAGCUCGUAGGCGGUCUGUUGCGUCCGCUGUGAAAACUCAGGGCUUAACCCCGAGCCUGCAGUGGAUACGGGCAGACUAGAGGUAGGUAGGGGAGAAUGGAAUUCCCGGUGUAGCGGUGAAAUGCGCAGAUAUCGGGAGGAGCACCGGUGGCGAAGGCGGUUCUCUGGGCCUUACCUGACGCUGAGGAGCGAAAGCGUGGGGAGCGAACAGG
rnacentral:rRNA from 1 species